AAGCAUUUAGUCCAAGGUAGAGAGGAUGUUUUGAGGCUUUUGAAACUUUUGGGGGAUAAAUGAGAAAGGAAGAUGGAAAGAAAUGGCAUGCUGUUAUUUCUAAAGGUGGGGCUUUUGAGUCUCACCAAGGAGAUCUGAGAGGAGGCUGGGUCAGCACUUGUUGGCACCAUGCCUGUGCGGCAAUAAUCCCACACUUCCUGAAGGAGGCAGGAAGGGUUUCUCCUGCCUUUGAAGAAUAAGGCGGCUUAUGGGUUUCUGCUGCAGCUUCUUCCUUCUACAGGAGCACUGAUAUUAAAACAGUCCUGCUGAUGGCUGAGGACCCGUUCUGUUAUCUCCACUCACUUGUCACUGCCUCUGCUGCUUGCUCCAAAAGGAUCAAAGAUCCAGUGAGAGACAGGAAAAUAGAGAUGAAGAGUAAGGAGCUGAAGAUCUUUGGACAAUCUCCUGAGUGACAGAGGCAAGUGAAAUUGCCAGUGGGUGGUGCAUGGGCAUCUCUAAUGCUUGCAAAUACAAGCCUAGUGCUGCCCUUGCCCGCUGCAUGUAUUCUAUUUAUACCACAGCAGAGGGAGCGUUGGCAAAGCAUCUAGGAGGAGCAACCUUUUGUUAUACCUAGAGCUGCUCCCUUCUCUAUUAGUGCAACCGACACAAAAAUAAUCACAAUAAUAAGGAUCGUGCGGUUAAUUGAUUCACUGUCUUGUGAUCAUGCUGCAGCCAACUCGGCCACAGCCUGGUUAUUGCAUCUUGUGUCCCUGUGAUUUUCUCACAGGGAAGGAAGCACCUGAAAUACCUCAGGACGUUUAGGAUCCAUUCACCUGGCUGCUUCUCUCAACAGUUCACUCCAUUCUGGCCUUUUUUCCAUGUCUGCUAGAAGGCUGGAUCAAGACGUUGAUUUUUCCUCGUGCUGUUCUCCAGGCUCAGCGCUGAGGGACUAUAUUUGAAAUCAGAGAGUGUGCUGUGUGUUAAGAAAUAGCUCUGGCACUAAAAUGUUUAAAAUUACUCUUUGUUUCCCUGACUUCUCUCCUAAUUUAGAUUAUCCAAAUCCAGAUUCCCCCCAAGACUUGCCCACAAGAUGGAAUUCUAAGAAAAUAUUGUUUUGUUUCAUUUGUUUUUUAAUGUCCACAUUUCUCACAUUUCCUGUUCCAAUUUCAA